UAAUUUUAUUUCACAACUUCCUCUCUCUACUGAAUAAGUCGACAUUGAUGAGAUUCCAUAAUAUCAUUCUAGUUCAUGUUCUUCUUUGGAUGAUCAACAAUCAUGGCCCUCCUUCGUGUACGUCGUUGUUUCUCAUCUUGUAGAACUCAUGGGGUAUAGUGAAACUACAAGCUGUCGGUCACCUUCCAAUUCAAUGGUCUUAAAGAAGGAAGAUUGAAAAAUAAACUUAAUAAAUCAUUGUGUCCAUAAAUAUACUAUAAAGGUUGAUCUUCUCUUUUUCAACUAAAUUCAUUAUAAAUAAUUGUUGG